rnacentral:lncRNA from 1 species
UGAGAAUUGAAAUGUGUCCAUUCUGUCUUAUGGAUAGAAGCUUUUAUAUAAAUUAUCUCAGUGUAAUCUCCCAAUAAUCAUGACGUAUGUAUUCAUCCUUUGCACAGCUCCUUAUGAUGAAAGGAGGCAAGAAAAUUUCUAAUAUAGGACUUUGGAUUCUAAAGUUCCAACACAGAAGAGUAAGUUCCAAAUGGAACCAUUUGGAUGAGAACUCAUUUUCUUACCAUGUUAUUCCAGUGGAAGGAGGACCCUUAAAUGAAGAAUCAGGAACCUCUAAAAUCCGUGGUGUGUUUCAUGGUAUACGUCUUCCAGGUAACUCAACAUACCAGACACCAGCCCAGAAUCAACCCACAGGUCUCCAUGGCAACAGUCAGCCAGUGUGGAUGGCUGCUGUGUGA